rnacentral:lncRNA from 1 species
AAAUCAUUUGAUUAAUGUAUGAUUUAUAAUCAGCUUUAUUAUGAUAUUUAUUCAUGCUCAAGUAUAGAAUGACUGCAACGGAAGACAUUCACUCACUAUUCUAAUUUUAUUAUUGUAAUUUAAGCAUAUUAUAUAUUUUACAUUUUUAUUGGUAUAUUUAAUGAGGUGCUAGCUUUACAAAGUUCUGCAGUAAUAUUGUAGUUAAGCCAUUUUAAUAUUUCAAAACAAAUCCCACAUUACAGUUUGAAAUCAGUGCCCAAUAUUUCUAUAUAUUUUACAUUUUUAUUGGUAUAUUUAAUGAGGUGCUAGCUUUACAAAGUUCUGCAGUAAUAUUGUAGUUAAGCCAUUUUAAUAUUUAAAAACAAAUCCCACAUUACAGUUUGAAAUCAGUGCCCAAUAUUUCUACAUAUUGAUCUCUGUAUUGUGGUAUUUUAUGCUCUUUUGGCAUUCUAAAUAACUGUAUCAAAGUAAGAGUCAAUGUUUUAAUGUCUUGGUCUUUUAAUUUAAUUUUUAUAUAUCUUACUAAUUUAAUUUUAUUUCAAUAUCUCUUUAAAUAUAUGUGACAAUUGGUAAACCUUGCUUUUAAAACACGACUAUUUAGUUAGCUGCCAUAUUUUCUCAACACUGACCAAGUGAAAUAUUUGUUUGACGAUAAUACGCUAUGGAUACAUUAAAAAUGAUUAAAGCGUGCACAGGAAACUAAGUUUAUGAUAUAUGCAUGCAUUGGUUCAAGAAUUGGAUUAACGUUAUUUUUCAUUAACAUUAUUUUUCACCAGUCACUUAUUUCAUAUGACUUUAAAAAUUGUUUGUUGAUAAUUGAUAGGUGUAUUAUAACUUUAAUUGAAGAAAAUGGUGUGUUGAAUAUUUACACCAAAGAAAUCUCAUAUAAUGACGUUUGAGGAAAGAGCGAUAAUAACUUUUUUCUGCAGCAUGGAAAAAAUGUUAUUAAAUGUGAGCACCAUCCUUUUUUUUUUACAAAAUCUAACUAUUCCUCAGAAUUUCAUAGUACUAGUAUGUUAAUGAUUUCAUUAUUUUCAAACUUUUAAUUGUAUGGACUUACCUUAUGUAGUAUUUCUUGCCAUUUGUGCAGUCAGUUUUUGGCCUUAGGUAUGUUCAGUCUUUAUAUUGGUUUGGCCAGUAACUAGUAUUUAAUUGUUUGUAUUAGCCAUUUUUUAGUAUACCUCUUUUUUUAAUAUCAAGGUCACACAUAGCAUCAUAGAUAAACAGCCAUUUUUACUAAGUGAGAAAACAAGGUGGUGUUUCAUUUCAUUUAUGGUGCUAUUGGUAUUAUACUGUUUAAAUCAUACAGUCUCAGAUUAUUGCAGCAUCCCAAUUUUUCAUUUAAAUCUUAACAAAGACAUGACAUUUUAUCUUAAAGGCUUGUAUGAAGAUUUAAAUACAAAACCUGCUUAAAGUUGAGAAGAUUAUUAUACAAAUUGGAAUUAUUUAUAACCUUCGUUUGUAAUGUUAGAUUUUAAUAAAUUCAGUUUUAACCACUGCAGUUUGUAAUGUUAUUUCCUUGAGAAAAAAAGAUCAAUAUACAUAGUUCAUUACUAGAGUGAGACAUUUUGCAAAAUUACAUUUUUUUGGCAAUAAUCCUUUAAUUACUUUGCAAUAAUACAAUGACUACUUAGUGAUAUAACUUGUACAUAACAAUUCACAAUCUGCAGACAACAACACAAGAACAAAUCAGCAAAAGUUGGUAUGGGGGUCUUUUGCUACAAGUAUCACAAAAUAGCAG